rnacentral:rRNA from 2 species
UGAGGAAUAUUGGACAAUGGGUGCGAGCCUGAUCCAGCCAUCCCGCGUGAAGGAUGACGGCCCUAUGGGUUGUAAACUUCUUUUGUACAGGGAUAAACCUAGAUACGUGUAUCUAGCUGAAGGUACUGUACGAAUAAGCACCGGCUAACUCCGUG